rnacentral:rRNA from 1 species
CCCUUAGAUGUUCUGGGCCGCACGCGCGCUACACUGACGGAGCCAACGAGUCUUUUCCUUGUCCGGAAGGACUGGGUAAUCUUGUGAAACUUCGUCGUGCUGGGGAUAGAGCAUUGCAAUUAUUGCUCUUCAACGAGGAAUUCCUAGUAAGCGUGAGUCAUCAGCUCGCGUUGAUUACGUCCCUGCCCUUUGUACACACCGCCCGUCGCUACUACCGAUUGGGAAAAUUUUAGAGAGUCCUGGACUGAUGAUUGUUCGGCUUCACGGCCUUACUUUCGUCGGGAAAGAAUUCGAUAAUAUUUUUCUAGAGGAAGUAAAAGUCGUAACA